AACCCAUGGUUUGGGCAUUUUCUCAGCAUCCUCUUGAAUCUCUCCCAUGUCUCAUAGAAAGACUCCUCUACUCCUUGUUUGAACACAUAUAUUUCAGACUUAGCAU
rnacentral:snoRNA from 1 species